UCCAUUAUAUUUCAAGGUAGAAUCAACAACUCCGGUUGAUCCUGCCGGCGGUCACUGCUAUCGAGUUCCGACUAAGCCAUGCGAGUCACAGGCCGUAAGGUACUGGCAGACGGCUCAGUAACACGCGGAUAAUCCACCCUUAGGUGGGGCAUAUCCUUGGGAAACUGAGGUUAAUUCCCCAUAGAUCCCGAAAACUGGAAUGUUACGGGUUCUGAAAGUUACGACGCCUAAGGACGAGUCUGCGGCCUAUCAGGUUGUAGGUGGGGUAAAGGCCCACAUAGCCUAUGACGGGUACGGGCCCUGAGAGGGGUAGCCCGGAGAUGGGUUCUGAGACACGAACCCAGGCCCUACGGGGCGCAGCAGGCGCGAAACCUUCGCAAUGCGCGCAAGCGCGACGAGGGGAACUCGAGUGCCAUUGUCAUUUUUGAUGAUGGCUUUUCUUGAUCCUAAAAAGAUCAGGGAAUAAAAGCUGGGUAAGACGGGUGCCAGCCGCCGCGGUAAUACCCGCAGCUCAAGUGGUGGCCACUAUUAUUGAGCCUAAAGCGUCCGUAGCCGGUCUUGUAAAUCUCUGGGUAAAUCCUGCCGCUUAACGGUGGGAAUGCUGGAGAGACUGCAAGACUGGGGAUCGGGUGAAGCGAGAGGUACUCCUGGGGUAGGGGUAAAAUCCUGUAAUCCUGGGGGGACGACCGGUGGCGAAAGCGUCUCGCUAGAACGACUCCGACGGUGAGGGACGAAGGCUAGGGGAGCAAACCGGAUUAGAUACCCGGGUAGUCCUAGCUGUAAACGCUGCACACUUGGUGUUGCCCCUUCUUCGGGAAAGGGCAGUGCCGGAGCGAAGGUGUUAAGUGUGCCGCUUGGGGAGUAUGGUCGCAAGGCUGAAACUUAAAGGAAUUGGCGGGAGAGCACCGCAACGGGAGGAGCGUGCGGUUUAAUUGGAUUCAACGCCGGAAAACUCACUAGGGAAGACCAUGGUAUGAGGGUCAACUUGAAGAAUUUACUCGAUUACAUGGAGAAGUGGUGCAUGGCCGUCGUCAGCUCGUACCGUAAAGCGUUCACUUAAGUGUGAUAACGAGCGAGACCCCCAUCCACUUUUGCCAGUACUGUCGCGAGACAGCACGCACUAUGUGGAGACUGCCAGUGUUAAACUGGAGGAAGGAGAGGUCAACGGCAGGUCAGUAUGCCCCGAAUUCCCUGGGCUACACGCGCGCUACAAAGGACGGAACAAUGGGCUGCAAUUCCGAAAGGAAGAGCCAAUCCCGAAAUCCGUUCGUAGUUCAGACUGAGGACUGUAAUUCGUCCUCACGAAGCUGGAUUCCGUAGUAAUCGCGAUUCAACAAAUCGCGGUGAAUAUGCCCCUGCUCUUUGCACACACCGCCUGUCAAGCCAUCCGAGUUGGUUCUGGAUGAGGGAACAUUUUUUGAUGUUUUCGAAUCCAAGAUUGAUGAGGAGGGCUAAGUCAUAACAAGGUAUCCGUAGGGGAACCUGCGGAUGGAUCACCUCCUA
rnacentral:rRNA from 1 species